GGUGUCACAGCAGCCCCGUGAAGGGACACACGCCCCCGCGGUGUCACAGCAGCCCCGCGCUGUCCCCGCUGUCCCGCCGUGCCCGGGCCGCGGCAGCGCCACUCGGUGAAGCCCGAGCGCCCCCUACUGUCGGGCGGGGGCAGCGGCCGCCCCCCCGCGCCCGGCGCUGCCUUUUGUGCGGCGGCUUUGGGGGCUCCGAGCUUUCCUCUCGUCCUGCUUGCUUGCUUUCUUUCUUUUCCCCUUUAUUUUAUAUAUAAUAGAUUUAUUCUUUUAACCAGUCCUCCGCGCAAAAGAUCCGAACAGUAUUUCUGCAAAAUGUACACGGCUCCCCCCCUCCACACACACACAUAAAAAAUGGUCCGCGAGUUAAUUCUUCCUUGAUUCUUGUGUGCAGUCAGUGACAACUAUUUUACCGUCGCCAAACGAGACACUGUUUUUUUUUUUUAAGUGUCUGAGAGAAUUAUUGGUAUUCCAUACAAAGCCAAGAUGAAAACUCCAAAGCCUCUUUAUGCAAAUCAGGGAACGAUGUCCCCUUAUACUCACAAUCUGCCCUGCAGAUAAAUACUAUAGAAUAAUAGAAUGGCCUGGGCUGGAAGGGACCUGAAAGAUCAUCUAGUUCCAAACCUCCUGCCAUAAGCAGGAACACCUUCCACUAGACCAGCUUGCUCAGAGCUCCAUCUAACCUGGCCUUGAAAGAUUCCAGGGAUGGAGCAUCCACAGCUUCCCUCAGCCACCUGUUCCACUGGCUCACCACCCUCACAGUAAAGAAUUUUUUCCUAAUGCCUAAGCUAAAUCUACUUUCUUUCAGGUUAAAGCCAUUCCCCUUGUCCUGUCACUACAUGCCCUUAUCAAAAGUCUCCCUCCAUCUUUCUUGUAGGCUCCCUUCAGGUACUGGAAGACCACAUUUAGUGGGCAAAGUCUUCUCUUUUCUAAGCUAAACAAUCCCAAUUCUCUCAGCCUUUCUUCAUAGCAGAGGUGAUUCAUCCCUCUAAUCAAUUUACUGAUCUCCUCUGGUUCACUCCAACAGAUCCAUGUCCUCCCUGUGCUGGGGACCCCAGAGCUGGAGGCAGCACUGCAGGUGGGGUCUCAGCAGAGCAGAGCAGAGGGGCAGAAUCCCCUCCCUCCCCUGCUGGUCAUAUAUUGCUACACCUGAAGACUAACUGAUGAGGAAGGCUACAAUUAAAGCUAAUUAGGGUCAGCUGAUCAAAAGGGUCACUGGGUUCUGAUGUCAUCUGACCAUUGAAUACAUGAUGAGAGAAGAGAAUUUAUAGAUUUUAAUCCUUAUAAAUGCUGAAGCAUGAUUAUUAUUCCUGCUACAAUCAAUAGGGUCUUCCACAGGAAGAUUGUACACCAGAGGUAAAUCAGGAACUGAAUCCAGGAAAAGACAUGUUGUUAAAACAGUGUAAGUGCUGUGGCUGGAUCUGUCUCACAAAGCCCCCUGAAAAGGAGCUUUUCUGCUGUCCCUGGCUACAUCAAUUCUGACUAAUCUACUUUCCUAGAACCACUCUUGUGGAUUAAAAAAAAAAAAAAAAAAAAAAGGGUGAUGGAAGCACGUGCUUGUCUCUCUGUCUCACAGGUGUCUCUUACUUGCAGCACAGAGGGUCACCUUCUGCUUCAACAUUAAAAA